UAAAACUUUCCGCAGCAUCUGAACUGCAGUGAUACUGGAAGCGCUCAAAGGACAUCUCAGUCAAUAAAUAAUAUUAGCAUUAUAAUUAACAAGUACUACAGUAUUUUUUCCCCCCACAAUAUUUAUGUUAUAUUAUAUUUAGGGGUGAAUUCAGGCUGAUUGGGACACUUUUUCCAAGUCAUCUCAAAAGGUGUCCGAAUCGCGUUGAAUUGACCCCAACAUUUCUGAAGGAUCAAUCGUUAUCGGUUCUGUAAUUGAUCACUCGAACAUUCUUCACGACUGGGAGGGUUUGGGCAUUUUUCCCCUCAUUCAUACCGGAGCUGAAGAAACGGAUUUUUCUUCUUUAAUUCAUAAGACUGAAGCCCCUGCAAAUACAAAGACCACGCUCCAGACAUGGACACCAGUUCCAACAGCAAUGAGUACAAACAUUAUCAGGACUGUCCCACCAAAGUCCCCUUCAACAGGUUGAAUCUUCUUCUUCUGCUGUGUCUCGUCUAUCACAGCGAAUCCAGCUCUAUAUCUGUGUCAGGAAUAAAGGGAGGCAGCGUGACCCUGUCAUGUGACUUUGAGGACAGAGAGAUUUUGGUCAUUAGUUUAAACAGUCAGUCAGAAAACAUCCCUGUGUGUCAGGAGAAAAACUGUAGUGGUCGAGUGUUUAAAGAAGGAUCAUGUGACGUCAUCAUCAAGGAUCUGAUCUUCAGUGACGCUGGGAAAUAUAUUCUGAUAGUCUAUUAUAAUAAUGAUCAGAGAGAACCGAAGCGAGAAAUCCUGAAGUAUCAUCUUCAUAUUCAGGAUGAGAUUUCUGUGAAGAGAGGAGAGGAGCUGAAGAUGGAUGUUCUGUUGAUCAAUGCUGAUAAAGUGCAGCACUGGACCAACAGAAGCACAGGGCAGAAGGAGGUGUGGACGAGAGGUCACGGGGUCAGGAGUGAUCGACUGAACAUCAGCGAUGAGACUCUGAUUAUUAAUAGGUUUACAGUCACUGACACUGGAACAUACAGAGUUCUGGACUCUGAAGGAGAAAUCUUGAUCACAGUCACAGUCACAGAAUCGAAGGGGAAUCUGAAGAACACAGAUGAAGACAAAACUGAUGACUCUGAACAUCACACUGUAGGUUAUUGGAUUGUGGCAGUUGGACUGACUGUGAUUCUGGUUCUGACUGCUGUGGUGUUACACAAACAUCUGCUCAGAGAUUAUAUUCAGGGUGUCAUUAGAAGGAGGAAAGAGGGACUGAGAUCAGGAGAUCCAGAAGCACUGAAGGUCUAUGAAGAUCUCUGUCGAGGGCCUGUGAAACAUGAUCAAACUCUGCAGGACACACAGUGACAUCACUGGAUAAUACUGGAAUUCACCAUUCAACUUUUAAAAUGUGAACAGACACUGUAAACUAUUUCUGUUGUUUUCACAGUAUUAUACUGUGUUCUCAACAGUUCCCUACUGUAGAAUCUGAGUACAGCACAUUACUGUAGAUUUUGUCGUUUUCACAGCUUGUAUUCUUAACAGUUUCCAACUGUAUAAGCUGUGUACAGUAUGUUACUAUAGAUUUUCAAUGCAUUCUGGGAAAAUAUUAUCCUACUGUAUAUCUAAAUACAGUACUAAAUGACAAAACAACCACACCUCCUCACGCAUGACAGACUCAUCAUGAAGAUGAAAGCCCACAAGAGGAUGCGUGGUGAAGAUGAAAGUCCGAGGACGGUGAAUGUGAAAUUGGCAGACCGGCGGGACCAUCGCGAGAGAGGCGGGAAGAGCCGUUGUGAAGACAAAAAGCCUACUACGUGAAAUUGCUGUAGAUUAUUGAAUUGUGGCAGUUGGACUGACUGUGAUUCUGCUGGUUCUGAUUCUAAACAUCUGCUCAGAGAUCAUGUUCAGUGUGUCGCUUGGAGGAGGAAAGAGGAAUUGAGUUCAGGAGAUCCAGAAGCACUGAAGGUCUAUGAAGAUCUCUGUCGAGGGCCUGUGAAACAUGAUCAAACUCUACAGGACACACAGCGACAUCACUGGAUAAUACUGGAAUCUGAACAUAUUUUAUCACAGUAUUGAUCAUCACACUCUUAGAGACUUUGAGAUUAGAGAUUAAAACAUGGUAUCUUAUCUCAGGAAUCUGUCUGUUACUGUAUCUGCUCCUCAGGUGUGGUUAAUGAAGAGAUCUGUUCAUUCACUCCAUCUACAUUUACUGCUGGUACUGAGACUCAAACCCACAACCUUCCUGUUACAAGUCCAACUGUCUAACCAUUAGGCCACAACUGACCCUUAAACUAGGAAUUAUUGGUUUUAUUUUAUCCAUCAACUGGGGAAAGUGUUCAUAGUGUGAACAGUGAGAAUGAAUAUCUGUGUCUGUGAAAGACAGUGUGGAUGUACAUGUGAAUAUUUUGUACAGUUUUCUAUUUAAAAAAGAUAUUUAUAUGUUGCUUUUGAUUGUUUAAUCGGUCAUCUGCACUGAUCUUUGCAAAUCUGCAAGUCAUAUCUAUUGUGAAAAACUAAACCACUUUUGUAAGAAAUUUUGUUGGAAUGUAUAUUUGUAUGAAUAAUAUAUUUUUACUAUGUUCAGAAAAUGUUUUUUAAUAAUAUAUACUGGACUUAAUCUACACACUGUUCUGUUAGUCAAGUGUCUGAUCAAACUAAUUCAACAGCUUUGAUGAAAGUAAAUGGUGCUCUAAUUAUUUUAUGGUUUUUAUACUGUUUACAUUGAUUGAUAUAUGAUCAUGUAAUAGGCCUAUAUAUAUAUAUAUAUAUAUAUAUAUAUAUAUAUAUAUAUAUAAUUAGUUAGUGCAGGGGUUUCCUAAAAAUACAUGCAAACAAAAAAAACAGUAACACUUUAUAAUUUAAUUAACAUGAACUAAUAAUGAACUGUACUUACAGCAUUUAUUAAUCUUUAAUAUUGAUUUCAACAUUUACUAAUACAUUAUUAAAAUCAAUGCUGUGAACUAAUAUGUAGUAACAAGUACUGUAACAAAUGAAUUGCGCAUAGUUCAUGUCAAUUAAUACAUUAACUAAUGUUAACUAAUGAACCUUAUUGUAAAGUGUUUUGUUAGACAAACAUAUAUGGCUGAUAAAACACUCACCACAGAAUUAUAAAAUUAACAAAUUAGAUGAACUGUUUAGUGACCUUCUGUAAAGUGACAUUAACCAAUAUAACAGACAGAUUUAUCCACUAAAACAUUUAUUCAGUUUUCAAUUUCAGCAACACUCUCCACAUCCGCAUCUGAGGAACAGAGGAACGUUCCACUCCCUGUUUCAAACACAGUCCAGGCACAGCUACAUGACCCAAUUCCUGCAAUAUGGAAAGCCACUUUUACAUUUAAUCCUUAAAACAUACAGGUUGAAUCUUCUUCUUCUGCUGUGUCUCGUCUAUCACAGCGAAUCCAGCUCUAUAUCUGUGUCAGGAAUAAAGGGAGGCAGCGUGACCCUGUCAUGUGACUUUGAGGACAGAGAGAUUUUGGUCAUUAGUUUAAUUAGUCGGUCAGAAAACAUCCCUGUGUGUCAGGAGAAAAACUGUAGUGGUCGAGUGUUUAAAGAAGGAUCAUGUGACAUCAUCAUCAAGGAUCUGAUCUUCAGUGAUGCUGGGAAAUAUAUUCUGAUAGUCUAUUAUAAUAAUGAUCAGAGAGAAGUGGAGCGACGAAUCCUGGAGUAUCAUCUUCAUAUUCAGGAUGAGAUUUCUGUGAAGAGAGGAGAGGAGCUGAAGAUGGAUGUUCUGUUGAUCAAUGCUGAUAAAGUGCAGCACUGGACCAACAGAAGCACAGGGCAGAAGGAGGUGUGGACGAGAGGUCACGGGGUCAGCAGUGAUCGACUGACCGACAGUGAUGGAAACCUGACCAUUAAUAGGUUUACAGUCACUGACUCUGGAACAUACAGAGUUCUGGAUUAUGAAGGAGAAAUCUUGAUCACAGUCACAGUCACAGAAUCUGGUACAGACUUGAAGGAAAAACUGGACACAGAUGAUAUCAAACCUUAUGACACUGAACAAUUUACUGUAGCGCACUGGAUUUUGUCUGUUGGAAUGGUUGUUUAUGCGGUUCUGCUGACUCUGGUUCUGAUUAUACUUGUCCUCAGGAAACACCAAUUUCUGAACAGGAAAGCGGAUCAUGAUUCCUUCCAAGGGAUCCCAAUGCAAUCAGUUGCCCAGAUCACCUGACGUCACUGGUUAAUUGUAAUUCACCUUCAGAAACAACAAUCUGCAGAAGAUUCUGUCAACAUAUGAAUGCAAUAUGCAUUUAAUUUACAAUGCAUAUUAACAUUCGGACUGCAUUCCUGCACCAAAAUGAUUUUUGUUGACACUGCAUUUAGUGACAGUGACCUAGAGAAAGAUCUGUGGCUGUUUGCAUAAACUCCUUAGAAGUUAGUCUUCAACUUUUUUAAAAGUCAGCUACAAAAAUAGGUAUAUUGGUCUAAUUUGAAUACAAAAAAAAAUAAGACUGAUUACUGCUUCUUAAGAUUACCUCGCUUCUUAAGUCUCUGACUUAUCAUGGUUAUGUGUUUAUGCAGCUGACCUCUGAACUGGUAACAGAAAGGUUACCAAUCCUGAUUCAUGAACUAGGAAUUAUUGUUCCUAUUGCAUCGAUCAACUACUGUUUCUUUUAGCUGCUGCAAUGAUGACUGAACAACAACAUCAUGGUGUCCACAUUCUAAAACAAUGCUCAGUUUUCACAGCUGAAGCACAUGCUUUACUUUAAGCUUGGGAAUAUAUUGGAAAUGCACAACAAAAGAAUUUUAUAAUUUUCACAGAUUCAAAAUCAUGUCUGCAAGCAAUGGAAGCUUCAAAAACUGACCCUCCUGUGGUAGACUCCAAGUGGACCAUUUAUCAGUUCUUUAGUAUUAUCUUCUGCUGGGUUCAAAAUCCUCUUUCAGACCUCAAACCUACUGUGAAAACAACAGAUUACAUAAAAUCAAUCCUAAAAUGGAUCCUCAGCAGACUUUUAUUCCAUUUUAAAGCAAGAUUUGAUCAAGUGGUGUUGACCAGGUGUCGUAUUGGACCUUCAAGACGGACUCAUUUCUGCUGAAAGAUGAAGACCAGAAUUUAUGUAUGUUCUGCAAAAUCUGUCUUUCUAACAUGUCUCACUGGACUGUCCUGCUUUGAAUGUAAAGAAGACGACGUGUUUAUUUAAGAAGCUCAUUUAAGGACUUGUGUAGUAAGAUUUUUUAUGUCUAUGUGGUGCUUUAAUGUGCUUUUAAGACAAAACAUGUGCAAAUUCAUAAGUCAACACCAUUGCUGAGUAUUUUCUCGAUUAAAACUUUAGUGAUCUAAAGACAGUUUCAAAAACGCAGUUUGAAAUCACUGGUGUUUCUUAUGUCACAAAUAUGUAACCGAUCACAUCAGCAUGCGAGGCGGACGUUAGUAUAUCAGUAAGUGAGUGUCAAAAAGCCAGUUUAUCCCGGUAUAUUUUUCUGUUAAUAUGAAAAAUCGGGUACAUUUAGCAAUAUAGCAGGUGUAUUAUGUAUAUGAUGUAUAUUACGAUGUUAUAAUGAACUUUCUCCACUGAUGUUCUGAGUUGUUCAAAGCAUUUCAAAGGAUACUGAUUGUUAGAAGUCAGCUGUCUGACUCUGAGAUGGCGAACGGGAAAAUGGUUUGUGUAACAUUAACACAAUAUAAGCUGUUUGAUAACAGGUUUAGACAUUAAUGACUGUGUGUUGAGUUAUUUUGAGGGGAAACAGCUAAUUUACACUGUUAUACAAGCUGUACACUCACUGCUUUACAUUGUAGCAAAGUGUCAUUUCUUCAGUGUUGUCACAUGAAAAGAUAUAAAAUAUUUACAAAAAUGUGAGUGGUGUACUCACUUCUGUGAGAUACUGUAGAUAAUGUAAGUGUAUUUUCUAAUUGUGUCAUCUGUAGCCUGUGUAACUGUAAUUAUUUCAGACACAAGGGUGAUUUGAAACAUGUAUAUCUUGCAUUGUUUGCUAUUGAAUGAACUGAUUGUUAUAAAAGUAUUACAUUAAAAGAA